ACACGUAGGGGCCUGACGUUGUUCGGAAUCAUUGGGCGUAAAGGGCGCGCAGGCGGCCGUCCAAGUCCGGUGUUAAAUGGUCGGGCUCAACCCGAUCAUGCGCUGGAAACUGGGCGGCUUGAGUCCCGUAGGGUAUGCCGGAAUGCCAGGAGUAUGGGUGAAAUCUGUAGAUAUCUGGAAGAACACCGAUGGCGAAGGCAGGCAUCUGGCCGGAGACUGACGCUGAGGCGCGAAGGCGCGGGGAGCGAACAGGUUUAGAUACCCGGGUAGUGCGCGCAGUAAACGAUGCGCACCAGGUGUCGGGCGGCAGCGCCCGGUACCGGAGCUAACGCGAUGAGUGCGCCGCCUGGGGAGUAUGCCCGCAAGGGUGAAACUCAAAUGAAUUGACGGGG
rnacentral:rRNA from 1 species